AGCGUACACGGUGGAUGCCUAGGCAGUCAGAGGCGAUGAAGGGCGUGCUAAUCUGCGAAAAGCGUCGGUAAGGUGAUAUGAACCGUUAUAACCGGCGAUACCCGAAUGGGGAAACCCAGUGUGUUUCGACACACUAUCAUGUCAUGAAUACAUAGUGGCAUGAGGCGAACCGGGGGAACUGAAACAUCUAAGUACCCCGAGGAAAAGAAAUCAACCGAGAUUCCCCCAGUAGCGGCGAGCGAACGGGGAGGAGCCCAGAACCUGAAUCGGCUUGUGUGUUAGUGGAAGCGUCUGGAAAGUCGCGCAGCAAAGGGUGAUAGCCCCGUACACUAAAAUGCACAGGUCGUGAGUUCGAUGAGUAGGGCGGGACACGUGACAUCCUGUCUGAAUAUGGGGGGACCAUCCUCCAAGGCUAAAUACUCCUGACUGACCGAUAGUGAACCAGUACCGUGAGGGAAAGGCGAAAAGAACCCCGGCGAGGGGAGUGAAAUAGAACCUGAAACCGUGUACGUACAAGCAGUGGGAGCACCUUCGUGGUGUGACUGCGUACCUUUUGUAUAAUGGGUCAGCGACUUAUAUUUUGUAGCAAGGUUAACCGUAUAGGGGAGCCGUAGGGAAACCGAGUCUUAACUGGGCGAAUAGUUGCAAGGUAUAGACCCGAAACCCGGUGAUCUAGCCAUGGGCAGGUUGAAGGUUGGGUAACACUAACUGGAGGACCGAACCGACUAAUGUUGAAAAAUUAGCGGAUGACUUGUGGCUGGGGGUGAAAGGCCAAUCAAACCGGGAGAUAGCUGGUUCUCCCCGAAAGCUAUUUAGGUAGCGCCUCGUGAACUCAUCUUCGGGGGUAGAGCACUGUUUCGGCUAGGGGGCCAUCCCGGCUUACCAAACCGAUGCAAACUCCGAAUACCGAAGAAUGUUAUCACGGGAGACACACGGCGGGUGCUAACGUCCGUCGUGAAGAGGGAAACAACCCAGACCGCCAGCUAAGGUCCCAAAGUCAUGGUUAAGUGGGAAACGAUGUGGGAAGGCACAGACAGCCAGGAUGUUGGCUUAGAAGCAGCCAUCAUUUAAAGAAAGCGUAAUAGCUCACUGGUCGAGUCGGCCUGCGCGGAAGAUGUAACGGGGCUAAACCAUGCACCGAAGCUGCGGCAGCGACGCUUAGGCGUUGUUGGGUAGGGGAGCGUUCUGUAAGCCGUUGAAGGUGGCCUGUGAGGGUUGCUGGAGGUAUCAGAAGUGCGAAUGCUGACAUAAGUAACGAUAAAGCGGGUGAAAAGCCCGCUCGCCGGAAGACCAAGGGUUCCUGUCCAACGUUAAUCGGGGCAGGGUGAGUCGACCCCUAAGGCGAGGCUGAAAAGCGUAGUCGAUGGGAAACAGGUUAAUAUUCCUGUACUUGGUGUUACUGCGAAGGGGGGACGGAGAAGGCUAGGCUGGCCGGGCGACGGUUGUCCCGGUUUAAGCGUGUAGGGGGUGUGACCUGGUAAAUCCGGUUACAUACUAACCCUGAGGCGUGAUGACGAUGCACUACGGUGCAGAAGUAGUUGAUGCCCUGCUUCCAGGAAAAUCCUCUAAGCUCCAGGUAACAUUAAAUCGUACCCCAAACCGACACAGGUGGUCAGGUAGAGAAUACCAAGGCGCUUGAGAGAACUCGGGUGAAGGAACUAGGCAAAAUGGUGCCGUAACUUCGGGAGAAGGCACGCUGGCAUGUAGGUGAAGUCCCUUGCGGAUGGAGCUGAAGCCAGUCGAAGAUACCAGCUGGCUGCAACUGUUUAAUAAAAACACAGCACUGUGCAAACACGAAAGUGGACGUAUACGGUGUGACGCCUGCCCGGUGCUGGAAGGUUAAUUGAUGGGGUCAGCCGCAAGGCGAAGCUCUUGAUCGAAGCCCCAGUAAACGGCGGCCGUAACUAUAACGGUCCUAAGGUAGCGAAAUUCCUUGUCGGGUAAGUUCCGACCUGCACGAAUGGCGUAAUGAUGGCCAGGCUGUCUCCACCCGAGACUCAGUGAAAUUGAACUCGCUGUGAAGAUGCAGUGUACCCGCGGCAAGACGGAAAGACCCCGUGAACCUUUACUAUAGCUUGACACUGAACAUUGAGCCUUGAUGUGUAGGAUAGGUGGGAGGCUUUGAAGCGUGGACGCCAGUCUGCGUGGAGCCAUCCUUGAAAUACCACCCUUUAAUGUUUGAUGUUCUAACUCGGCCCCAUAAUCUGGGGUGAGGACAGUGUCUGGUGGGUAGUUUGACUGGGGCGGUCUCCUCCCAAAGAGUAACGGAGGAGCACGAAGGUUAGCUAAUCACGGUCGGACAUCGUGAGGUUAGUGCAAAGGCAUAAGCUAGCUUGACUGCGAGAGUGACGGCUCGAGCAGGUACGAAAGUAGGUCUUAGUGAUCCGGUGGUUCUGAAUGGAAGGGCCAUCGCUCAACGGAUAAAAGGUACUCCGGGGAUAACAGGCUGAUACCGCCCAAGAGUUCAUAUCGACGGCGGUGUUUGGCACCUCGAUGUCGGCUCAUCACAUCCUGGGGCUGAAGUAGGUCCCAAGGGUAUGGCUGUUCGCCAUUUAAAGUGGUACGCGAGCUGGGUUUAGAACGUCGUGAGACAGUUCGGUCCCUAUCUGCCGUGGGCGUUGGAAGAUUGAGAGGGGUUGCUCCUAGUACGAGAGGACCGGAGUGAACGCACCACUGGUGUUCGGGUUGUCAUGCCAAUGGCAUUGCCCGGUAGCUAAGUGCGGAAAAGAUAAGCGCUGAAAGCAUCUAAGCGCGAAACUUGCCUCAAGAUGAGUCU
rnacentral:rRNA from 1 species